CAGUCGAGCGAAACGAGGAGCUUGCUCCUCUGACGUUAGCGGCGGACGGGUGAGUAACACGUGGAUAACCUACCUAUAAGACUGGGAUAACUUCGGGAAACCGGAGCUAAUACCGGAUAAUAUAUUGAACCGCAUGGUUCAAUAGUGAAAGACGGUUUUGCUGUCACUUAUAGAUGGAUCCGCGCCGCAUUAGCUAGUUGGUAAGGUAACGGCUUACCAAGGCAACGAUGCGUAGCCGACCUGAGAGGGUGAUCGGCCACACUGGAACUGAGACACGGUCCAGACUCCUACGGGAGGCAGCAGUAGGGAAUCUUCCGCAAUGGGCGAAAGCCUGACGGAGCAACGCCGCGUGAGUGAUGAAGGUCUUCGGAUCGUAAAACUCUGUUAUUAGGGAAGAACAAAUGUGUAAGUAACUAUGCACGUCUUGACGGUACCUAAUCAGAAAGCCACGGCUAACUACGUGCCAGCAGCCGCGGUAAUACGUAGGUGGCAAGCGUUAUCCGGAAUUAUUGGGCGUAAAGCGCGCGUAGGCGGUUUUUUAAGUCUGAUGUGAAAGCCCACGGCUCAACCGUGGAGGGUCAUUGGAAACUGGAAAACUUGAGUGCAGAAGAGGAAAGUGGAAUUCCAUGUGUAGCGGUGAAAUGCGCAGAGAUAUGGAGGAACACCAGUGGCGAAGGCGACUUUCUGGUCUGUAACUGACGCUGAUGUGCGAAAGCGUGGGGAUCAAACAGGAUUAGAUACCCUGGUAGUCCACGCCGUAAACGAUGAGUGCUAAGUGUUAGGGGGGUUUCCGCCCCUUAGUGCUGCAGCUAACGCAUUAAGCACUCCGCCUGGGGAGUACGACCGCAAGGUUGAAACUCAAAGGAAUUGACGGGGACCCGCACAAGCGGUGGAACAUNNNGGUUUAAUUCGAAGCAACGCGAAGAACCUUACCAAAUCUUGACAUCCUCUGACCCUCUAGAGAUAGAGUUUUCCCCUUCGGGGGACAGAGUGACAGGUGGUGCAUGGUUGUCGUCAGCUCGUGUCGUGNNNAUUUUGGGUUAAGUCCCGCAACGAGCGCAACCCUUAAGCUUAGUUGCCAUCAUUAAGUUGG
rnacentral:rRNA from 1 species